rnacentral:piRNA from 1 species
UGAAAAUUAGUUGGUGGUCCUUUGGGGA